ensembl:lncRNA
UGGGCCUCCACCUCUUGCUUGGAUCCUUCUAGGUGGCUGUCAGGCAGACACCGAGCCAAGCUGAUGGCUUUCUGCUUGCAGAGGGAACAGCUCACAGGUAGCCUUACAGAUUCAGCAGGACAUAGUGCUGGAGACUGUGGGUCCAGCCUCAGCUCAGGGAAAGAUGUUUCCUAUAUCCCAUCUGACUCUGCCAAGCAUUUGGUUACUAACGUGAUCUGUGAGAGCAUCUCCUUUCCUCAUUGCUGGCAAGAGCUUUUGUGUACUGGUUCCUGCUACUUCUGGAAGCAAGGUUACCCAGUAAAGCUGAUACCGUUCUGCCAGUUCUCUCAUAGCUGCAAGAUUGUCUACCAUGCUUUGAACUCAGGAAAUCUUGUUUUUGAAACAUGCAACUCAGCAGUCAUGGAAGAGAGAAAGCUGUGGAAGAGGAAUAGAGGAGGGCUGCCCACCUCCUCCUUCAGAUGGGAAAGUCCUCACAGUUGUUUUCCCGCCAACCACGUCUGAACAUUGGAAACUGCCCCAAGUUUCUGCGUGAGUUGAUGAGAAGAUGUGCUUUGGGCUGAUGCUAAUAAUUUUGAUUUCUGGGACUGGAAAUAAAGACAAAAAGGCACCUUAAUUCUAUCCACUAAAUCUUCUCAGAGGAAUUCUCUUGGCCUCUUCUGUUACAAGCAUCAUCCUUUGGUUUUCUCUUCAAAACUAUUUUAUAUACUGGGAGUCGUCAUCCCGGGAGGCAUGAACAAGAAUCUGGUGACAGGAGCAUCAUGAAGUUCAAGACUUCAAAUGUGAAGUCCUGCACCCUGUAAAUAGUGACACCAUGCAACAGUACAAACUGGGGACAGGCUGACUAGAAACUAGCUUUACAUAAGAGGACCUAGAGGUCCUGAUGGACAUCGAGCUGAAUGUGAGUCAAGAAUGUGCCACUGCGUGAAUGAGAGCCAAGCACAAAAGACACUGGGCUGCAUUAGUAACAGCAGAGGCAGUGGGUUGAGAUAGCCAGCAGAGGUGAAUAUUGCACCCCUCUGAGGAGAAGAAAAUCCCCCAGGCAAGCAGAGAGCAAGAUUGACAUUUCUCAUUAUUUCUGUACUCCAGGUAAUAUAUAUAAACUUUUUUUUUUUUUUUCCCUGGGAGCCCUUCAAACCAAGCAAAUGAAGACAUUUCUUCUGUACAGUCAACGACACUCCAAAAGGUCUGAUCUGCUCUCUGAAAUUUCCCCUGAUUUUGCUGUGGCCCUCAGGCUGUAACUCAGUGAUCUCGGCACACAACGUGGCUAUCCCAAAAUCUCAAGUUUUGCUUUGACCAAGUAUUUACCAUAACGAAUAGAAACUAUUCCUUGAACAACAACGUCUUUUACCACUUGCAAAUCUCCAUCUAAUCUGACUGUCCUUAUCUAUAAGCGGAGAGAAUGAAAAGCAGAGAUAUAAAACCCAAAGGUUAAGUACAUAUUUUUUGCAACUGUUUAAUGUUCAGCAUUCUCAUGUUGUGAAGAACAUGCAAAGUUUCUGCAUUCUUUCUAUUGGGUGCAUUCGUCACCAAAGCAGACUUGCUAUCGGUUUGGGAUGUAAACUGACCUGUGUCACUGCAAUUUGCCUGUUUUCAUGUGUGUGUUUGGUUUGCUUUUGGCAUACAGGCACUUACGGCUGAUCCAAAGUCAUUCAAAAGCUCAGCAGAUGCUUCUGUGAAUCUCUUCUAUGUUUAGAAAUGGAAAUGAAGCACGAAACCAGGUGCUUUCUGUGCUGUCCUGAAUUAUGGAUUUUAUCCUUCAUGUUGUAACACAGUUUACUUGUCUUCUGGUUUAUCAUUUUUGAAGAAGGUAUGAGGUAAAAUACCAAGAUCUCCCUGACAGAGUCUUGUAGGACUCCAGGAACUGCUGUCUUCUGUACGGGUCCUCUCCAAUUCAACAGCACCCUUUCAGCUGACAUCAAAAGGGGUGAGUGAGGGCUGUGUGGAGUACAAGGAGCCAACACUGCUAAUAAGACAGAAAUUUGCCACUGAUUUUGUGAAAUUCUCUGUACUGGAUUAUACAGGAGAUCAGAAAAGAAGAUUUUCAGAGUCUCUUCCUCUAACUCUUGCAACUUACUCUUGGGAACUGGUAUUAUCAGAUUUCAGAGACUAAACUGACCUCUCUGUAAGCUGAGCUCAGAAGAUGAAGGCCAAUAAUGGGAGAAGGAGCACAUCUCAAGGCAAAAGGUUUAACCGUCUGCCUCUUGGUAACCUGCAGGAAAUCCACCAAACAUCAUUUCAUUUGCAGCGAUUAAAGCCUGGAUGUUGGCAGAUGUGCACACACAUUCUUGCCCCACAGACCAAACAGAGCAACUUCAGAAGUGCAGCAGGAGUUCCUUUAAAACAGACUGGGAAGGAAAGGUGGGAAUGAACGAAACCUCUACCCCGUGCCUUAACACUUUUGAGUACGAUGUUGGUUUGCAAUGCUUACGUAUCACUUUGGACAUUACACAUUGGCACUGAGUACCUAAAACAAGAGACUUGAGCUUUCCAUUUGCUUUGCACAUCUGUUUUGUCGGGUCCUGUGCUCGUAGCAUCAUUUUUUCCCAGCUGCAGUAUCACAACUGGACACUAGAGAGCUCCUUUUACCAAAGACAUCUCUCCAACGUGAGGGCAGAGCCCUGUGAGGUACGUACAGAGAAUUCCUCCUUUUUUAUAUAACACGGUUUUACUCAUUCUUCAUUUUUAUGUUAAAAAUUAAUAUUCUCAAGGGAAAGCUAUCUUUGCCAGAAAGAGCAAUGGCUGCAGCUGUAGCUCCACAUCUCCUACCCCCAACAAGACAGAGAUUUCAUAGGAGUAGUAACUUGGGAACUAAUUACACAAUUUCAGAGAUAAGAAAAAGUAAAUCAAAUGCUGCCAGCAUGGAAAUUAUAAUUAAGUUUUUCUCUGAAUAACAAAUACACUCCAUAUGUAAUUUAUUAUGACUAUUACUAUAUUAAUAAUACUAAUAACCUAUGCCAUGCACCUAUGGAGAGUACAUGUUUUUGUCUAAAUUGCUGGGUUAUAGUCGCAGAUGCAGUAUGAAUGCCAAACAGCUCUCUGCAGUCAUUCUGCUGAUAACCUUAAGCCUUACAACACCCAAGCUAUUGCUAAACACUACUCUAUUAGCAAGUGAUAUAACAGGAUGACGACUGGAUCUACUUUUUUCAUUAGCUGUGUUUGACCCGUUCCCCCAGUUGCCUUUACCCUAUCAAUCAUUUAUUCAAAACCAAAACAAAAUCUCCUAUGCUGUCACUGUAAGGGCAUAUGCGUUCCUGCUCCUCUGAUUUUGGCAUAAGCACAGUCUGCUGCAAGAUGCUGUAAUGAUGUGACAUCUUAUCAUAUUGCCCGUUAGGGAUUUUGCGUUAGGGUUGAUUUACAGAUAGCUGUGUCCCGAGGUCAGCAGUGAGAGGGCACAACAUUUUGUCUCCAAAGCAAAGCCCUGUCCCACUCUUACCUCAGAAUCUUGGAGUGCAAAGAUUGAAAAAGCCCAUAGGAAAUCUUCAGAACUGUGGUUCUUGGCCAGGGCAGAGAAGUACAGCUUUCACUGCAGUGCUUCCCAGUAGUACCGCCGUGCCAAUGGCUACGUCCUUUGCUCUUGCCUACUCAUCCCAGUAUGAACUGGGAACACAAGAACCAGUGAAAUCCAGAGUGCAGAGCCAACCUUCCCCAAUCAGUUGUGUGCCUCGGAGGGAGGAGUGGGCCUUGCAAGUGUGCUGUCAGCUCCUGCCUGUGUUCCCUGCCCAAGGUAGCUUUGGGCACACCUCCUAAUUUUCCUGCACCUCUGCUGCUUCAGAUGUUUUGUGUGGUGUAGCUAAAAGUCUCAUUUUCUUCCACCAUUUCUUUGCCUUGUUCCCCUGCUCAGUCUGGGAUCUGAUUGGUUUUACCUAGAAAGCCAGAGAAACUAUGUUCUGAAUUUCGAGGGAGCCAUUCUUCCAGGACAGCCCAACUGUAUUAAUGACAGUGAGCUGAAAUGUUCCACUGACAUCUCUUUACUUUGUUUCCAAAACCAGCAAGAGACGAUAGUAGCUGAGCCAGACUUUAAUGGUAGCUUUUCUUUGUUCUUUUCAACCCACAGUCUUUUGAAAAUGUAAUGGUAAAAGAUAGAUGAGAUUUUCAGCUUAGGGCAGCUCCAAACAGGCUGGCCAAGGAGGUCAGCGUGGGAAGGGGAGGCUGCCUUUUGAUUCAUCUGAAAGUCAUCUCUUACAAACUGCUCGGUGUGAGCCUUGGUCAGGUCAUUAUGCAACUCUGACGUUGUCCAUGCAGAUCAGGGCUCCAGCAUGGCACUCAUCAGCUCUCUUCCUAAACCACAGAAUCAUAGAAUGGCCUGGGUUGAAAAGGACCUCAAAGAUCAUCGAGUUUCAACCCCCUGCUAUGUGCAGGGUCGCCAACCAGCAGACCAGGCUGCCCAGAGCCACAUCCAGCCUGGCCUUGAAUGCCUCCAGGGAUGGGGCAUCCACAACCUCCUUGGGCAACCUGUUCCAGUGCAUCACCACCCUCUGGGGGAAAAACUUCCUCCCAGUAUCCAACCUAAACCUCCCCUGCCUCAGUUUAAAACCAUUCCCCCUUAUCCUAUCACUAUCCACCCUCAUAAACAGCCAUUCCCCUUCCUGCUUAUAUGCUCUUAAAUGACCUUGAUGCACCCAGAAAAUCCUCCCUACCUUUGAGAAGGGAGAGCCUCUAAUGAUAGCAACUCUAACGAAACCCAACCAUAGCUUGCCAAACUGCAGCUAACAAAAUCAAAGGGCGUGGUGAAGUCAGGGCUAGCGUGUCUCUUACAAAACCCCAAUUCUCAAAAAACUGUUUUAUUGCUUCCAGCCCUGGGAGCUCACGUUACACACUGGACAAACCUAGCAGGGCCCUGUCAUUUGUCAGUCAGUGUUAUGGCACGACAGGAGCCUGAAAAGUUAAAAACCAGUUUAACGAAUUAAAAAAUUUAAUGGGAUUCCCAUUAAGCUCGUCUGGGAAGUUUCAUCUGGGAGAACAAAGAAGGAAAUACCGUGGGAUAUGUUUUCUUUGCAGGGAGGAUACGUGGUCCCCACAGGCAAGAACAGCAAGGUGCUCCCUGGAGAGAGAGAGAAGCCUGCAAUAUUUCACAAAGGAAAUUAAAAUGUGAUUCCUGUCAAGUCACCCCUUAUGAGUUCUCCUCUUCUCAUUAACGUUUUGGACAGUCUGAUAUUCAGAAAAACAAAGAUGCUAACUGUGGCUGUCAGUUACUUUUCUUCCUUAAUUUUAUUUUGCAUCAGCUGACCAGAGAGCAAAGUUUUUGCGAGGCAUCCAAGAUCUCAGCAUUGGAGGAACUCUUCAUAGAAACUGAAUUUAACAGCUCUGCCAAUUCAGCUGGCAGAUGUGUUUAUUACAAUGACAAAUGCCCUGGGACCUUCUAGUCCCCUUUCUCUAAAAAAAUCCCACUUUUGCUUUAUUCAUCUCUCCCCAAAAUAUUUUAGAAGGCGGACUCAGGAAAAAUGACUCGCUUAGCAGAAUUUGUAUAAAUUAUUACUUAAUGAUCGUGAUCCAUAGGCUAUUCUUUCCAUCAAGAUGUAAGCCACUGCCAAGCCAGACUAAUAGGAGUUUAUAGACCAGCAGUGAGUGUAAGCAGUCUCAGUGACACGAAUACAAACCCAGCAGCUCAGCUUACUGCAGCUUAGAAUGGAUUAAUGUCCCAUGGCAGAUGCCAGCCUCUUGCCAAAAAGACUAACCCAGUCUUUAUGAAUUUCCUGUUCCUCACAAUGGUUGAGCUACGUCAAUACUGAGAUAACUAGAAAUAGACCCAACUUCUUCAAUGUCGGACUGCGCCCGAAUUUUCCUUGAGGCUCUUCUACAGCCCUUGCCUAUUCAGAGCAAGCUCAGUAUGUUCUUUUACUGAUUUCAUCAACAGAUCCUUUUAAGCAGUGGUAACCCUCAGGAAGCUAAUUUGUUUUCUCUCCAUCUUUUCCCAAGGAAGAAUUAAGAGUGGAGAGGAGUACUGUGGUUUGAUAGAGUGGUUUGUUUGCUAUUAUUAUUGUUUUUGUUUGUACCGGAGAGCGUUGGCCUUUUGCACUGAGAUGAUGAUGGGGAUCAUGGAAAUCCUUCUUUUUUUUUUCUUCUUCUUCUUCUUUUUUUUUUUUUCCCAGGUUUUGCAGAGAAACACUCAUUAUUCUUGCAACAGAAUCUAGGGAAGCUCUGUCUCAGCAUACAUGACCUCUGCUGUACAAAGAAAAAGGUUGCGUUGUGCCUGAGGAACAAAGCUCUGGAAUUAAGUCUAUAACAGCUAAGAUAUGCUGGGCCACGGAGCAUCUUUGCAAGUCUCUAAACAGCCCACAGGAAAAUCUCAGAAGGACCCUCAGAUUCUCAGGAGUGCAGAUGACUACUGAAGAAGCAAGGACCUCUAAGGAGGGUCCACUUCAGCCCACCUCCAGUCUGAGGGUCAUUUAGACAUAUGGAACAACGCAGAGAGAAAAGGGAGCACUGAAAAGCUGCUCCAGUAAUUCCCAGCUGCCUCUUCCCCACUCUACUUCCUCCUGAUGCUGCCCUUUUCAAUUGGCCACUGAACUGGGGUUUCAAAUUAUUUCUCUCGAGAAGCUGUACAGAGUUUUAUUGCUUUGAUUCUAACUGAUCUAUUGGCUGCCUGCGCAUUUCUCAGCCACUUUCUGAAAACAGCAGCUGGUACAGAUGAUGUUUGCAGGUGAAAAGUGGAGCUGCCUAAUAGCUUUCCAGCUGAUAUAGCACCAGCACUGGAUUAGGUCAUUGUAAUGGCAGCUGAAAACUUUGCUUUAACACAGCUUGAGCAGCUCGGUACACCUUGGUUUAGUGAGAAGAAGCAGUGUCCAGCGUGGCUGGUUGAUGUACUGCUGUAUCUCAAGUGUUUGUCCAACACGAGCACCAGAAAGUUGAGCACAGUGAAAUAAAACCAGAUCUGCUUGCGAAAACAAAAUGGAAAAAAGUCACCUGAAAGAAAAAUCCAUAUUCCUUUCUCAGUAGCUUUUAUGAAAACUUUUUCCUUCCUCAAAUUACAGUGACUCCAUGUGGCUUACUCCACAAUGCAGAUUUUAAUAUAUUUUUACUAAAAUUUAUUCCAGCUGUUGCUAAUCAUAGAGAUAUGAAUAAUAUUAUUAUACAGAGAAAAAUCUUGACUAGACUUGGUGCAGAUUUAUUCAUUUGUAAUUUUUCCAUCUUAAAUCCAAAUAUUAAAAGCCAGAUGAAAGGAAGGAAAGGUAAUUGUAACCGCUGGCUUCUACUUCACCAUGAUGAAAUUGAGCUUGCUCAGUAAUCAAAGAAUAAGCGUAGAGAUUUUUAUCAGAGUAUCUGAUUUUAUCAGACCAUUUGCAGGGACUGCAAUUCAAUAGAAACCGGGGAUGCCAGAUCUUUCGUAUAAAUCACUUUUGGGAGAGGACUGCUGCUGAGCUCCAGCUCAGACAUGCCCAGAAAAAAAUCAACCAACUGAAGUUGAAUAGGGAACACACUGGGGGUCUUCAAACUCUGUCAUUAUUGCAGCAUGUAAACUUCUAGGAGGCCAUUACAUUGAGAAAUGUGCUGCCAGCUCUGAAGGCUGAGUCCAGUCAUAGAAUCAUAGAAUGGUUUGGGUUGGAAGGGACCUUAAAUAUCAUCCAGUUCCAACCCUCUGCUAUGGGCAGGGACACCUCCCUCUAGACCAGGUUGCUCAAAGUCCCAUCCAGCCUGGCCUUGAAUGCUUCCAGGGAGGGGGCAUUCACAACCUUUCUGGGCAACCUGUUCCAGUGUCUCACCACACUCACAGUAAAUAACUGCUUCCUGAUAUCUAGUCUAAGUCUACUGAUUCAGUUCAGUCCUUGGUCGAAAAUGCAUCCUUCACCUCACCAAAGUCAGAUUCUUUUUCACAACCCAGUGCCUCCGUACAGUGGUGUUAUGAAUUCCAUCCACUAAGUAUGGAUCUGCGUUCUGUGUCCAAACCUAUUUCUUAUGCCGCAUUUACUUCCAGUGCCCAACCAUACAGAAAUUUACCCAUGCCUUUGCACAGCAGGAAGCAUAUGGUGCCUGAGUUACUCAAGUCCAUUUCUCAGGAAAGCAGUCCUUUAAAAACAACUUCUGUCCAUCAAGGCCCCCUCUUCAAACAGCCUCACAUUCAUGCUGUUCUGCUUGUGGUAAGAAUCAGUGUUCCAGCUACAGCAAAAAUGCAGUUUGCACUGUAAGAGGAGGAAAUAAAUGUCGGGUCAUCUAAGAGUCCUUCAUUCACUCAGCCAAAAAUGAGACUACCCUGAUUUCCCUUUUUCAUUUUUGUGGUACUGAGUCAUGAGUUGAUUUCUUUGGGAAAAAAAAGAGAAGAAAAUCUAAAACUGUCUUGUAGUUAAUCAGUAUUAGAUAGAUGGCUAAGUGACAGCUCAUAUGACUCAGGCCCUUUAGGCUGCACUUAUCCCUUGCUCUCAUGCUAUAAAACACGCUUUUCCAG